GUGGGGAAUAUUGGACAAUGGGCGCAAGCCUGAUCCAGCCAUGCCGCGUGAGUGAUGAAGGCCUUAGGGUUGUAAAGCUCUUUCAGUGGGGACGAUAAUGACGGUACCCACAGAAGAAGCCCCGGCUAACUUCGUGCCAGCAGCCGCGGUAAUACGAAGGGGGCUAGCGUUGUUCGGAUUUACUGGGCGUAAAGCGCACGUAGGCGGAUCGUUAAGUCGGGGGUGAAAUCCUGGAGCUCAACUCCAGAACUGCCUUCGAUACUGGCGAUCUUGAGUCCGGAAGAGGUGAGUGGAACUCCUAGUGUAGAGGUGGAAUUCGUAGAUAUUAGGAAGAACACCAGUGGCGAAGGCGGCUCACUGGUCUGGUACUGACGCUGAGGUGCGAAAGCGUGGGGAGCAAACAGGAUUAGAUACCCUUGUAGUCC
rnacentral:rRNA from 1 species